ensembl:snoRNA
AUGCAUGCUGUGGACGUAAGUCCACAUCAGAUCCACUCUUUCCCACACAUGGAGAGCGUGGACUAGUUGGAGCAUGCUAGAGCAAAACUCAUGGAGUUAACAGGGCCGCCAGUCUCUCAAGUUCAGGCUGCGUUUGGUAGUAUAAAACUCCAACAGCU